AGCCUUCUGUAUCCGUACUGAGAUUUCGUCACUCACCAGACCAAAAAGGCUGAUCAGACUUCUAAGAUAAGUGAAAUC
rfam:Schistosoma haematobium scaffold508_27, whole genome shotgun sequence.